UUUCCGUAGGUGAACCUGCGGAAGGAUCAUUAUUGUAUAACCGAGGUGCGAGGGCUGUCGCUGACCCGAAAGGUCGUGCACGCCCGAGUGCCCUCACACACAUCCAUCUCACCCCUUUCUGCACCACCGCGUGGGUCCCCCUUUGGCUUGUUCGGAGGGGGGCUUACGUUUUCACACAAACUUUGUAUGCAGUGUAGAAUGUAUUUUUUGUUUUUGCGAUCACGCAAUCAAUACAACUUUCAACAACGGAUCUCUUGGCUCUC
rnacentral:misc_RNA from 1 species